CAAAAUACAGAAAAGACCUAAGUUCUAGCUUCAACUUGCGAAGAUGGUCUUCAGCUCAAACUUCCCCGAUUUAUUCUAACUUCUAAAGCAGUAGUCUAAGGCACUAGGACAAGAAGCAGAUGAACAUGUACAGCCAGUAUUGGGCCACCAUGCCCGUCCCACCUAGACUCAUACCUUGUCUCAUCCACUCGACCUCGUCCUCGGUGACAAAGCUGCACAAGGCUUUUGCCAUUGCCAGUCGUAUUGCUCCAGCCUGCGCCGACCUCCCGCCCCCUGAGACUGUGCAGGUCACGUCGUGCUUUCCCAGCCGGUCAACAAAGUGGAAAGGGAACAUCAGCUGUUCUCUAAAGCACAGCACAAGUAAAUGUGGUUACGUUUACUAUAAAGACACAUAAUUAUGUAAACAACUGAAAUUCUGAAUAUUCAUAAAAACAAUAUUCUGCAUGC
rnacentral:antisense_RNA from 1 species